GAACCGUACGAACGUUAUUCGGAAUCACUGGGCUUAAAGGGUGCGUAGGCGGCUUUGCAAGUUGGGUGUGAAAUCCCUCGGCUCAACCGAGGAACUGCGCCCAAAACUGCAAGGCUUGAGGGAGGUAGAGGUGAGCGGAACUCACGGUGGAGCGGUGAAAUGCGUUGAUAUCGUGAGGAACACCAGUGGCGAAGGCGGCUCACUGGACCUCUUCUGACGCUGAGGCACGAAAGCUAGGGUAGCGAACAGGGAUUAGAUACCCUGGUAGUCCUAGCUGUAAACGAUGAGCACUGGGUUGGAGGGUCCUCCAUAGCUUUCCGACCGAAGCGAAAGUGUUAAGUGCUCCGCCUGGGGAGUAUGGUCGCAAGGCUG
rnacentral:rRNA from 1 species